AACGAACGCUGGCGGCAGGCCUAACACAUGCAAGUCGAGCGCCCCGCAAGGGGAGCGGCGGACGGGUGCGUAACGCGUGGGAACGUACCCUUUGCUACGGAAUAGCCUCGGGAAACUGGGAGUAAUACCGUAUGUGUCCUUCGGGAGAAAGAUUUAUCGGCAGGGGAUCGGCCCGCGUUGGAUUAGGUAGUUGGUGGGGUAAUGGCCUACCAAGCCGACGAUCCAUAGCUGGUUUGAGAGGAUGAUCAGCCACACUGGGACUGAGACACGGCCCAGACUCCUACGGGAGGCAGCAGUGGGGAAUCUUAGACAAUGGGCGCAAGCCUGAUCUAGCCAUGCCGCGUGAGCGAUGAAGGCCUUAGGGUUGUAAAGCUCUUUCAGGGGGGAAGAUAAUGACUGUACCCCCAGAAGAAGCCCCGGCUAACUCCGUG
rnacentral:rRNA from 1 species